GACGAACCGCACAAACGUUAUUCGGAAUCACUGGGCUUAAAGGGUGCGUAGGCGGUCCGGAAAGUUGGGUGUGAAAUCCCUCGGCUCAACCGAGGAACUGCGCUCAAAACUACCGGACUUGAGGGAGAUAGAGGUGAGCGGAACUCAGGGUGGAGCGGUGAAAUGCGUUGAUAUCCUGAGGAACACCAGUUGCGAAGGCGGCUCACUGGGUCUUUUCUGACGCUGAGGCACGAAAGCUAGGGGAGCGAACGGG
rnacentral:rRNA from 1 species